GAUGAACGCUGGCGGCGUGCUUAACACAUGCAAGUCGAGCGAGAAGUUUUGAAAAGAUUCUUCGGAUGAAAUUUAAAAUGGAAAGCGGCGGACGGGUGAGUAACGCGUAGGCAACCUGCCCCAUACAAAGGGAUAGCAUUUGGAAACGAAUAUUAAUACCUUAUGAAACUUAACUAGUGCAUGCUAGGUAGGUCAAAGAUUUAUCGGUAUGGGAUGGGCCUGCGUCUGAUUAGCUAGUUGGUGAGGUAACGGCUCACCAAGGCGACGAUCAGUAGCCGACCUGAGAGGGUGAACGGCCAAAUUGGAACUGAGACACGGUCCAAACUCCUACGGGAGGCAGCAGUGGGGAAUAUUGCACAAUGGGGGAAACCCUGAUGCAGCAACGCCGCGUGAACGAUGAAGGCCUUUGGGUCGUAAAGUUCUGUUCUAGGUGAUGAAAACUGACAGUAACCGAGGAGAAAGCCCCGGCUAACUCCGUG
rnacentral:rRNA from 1 species